AGAGUUUGAUCCUGGCUCAGGACUAACGCUGGCGGCACGCAUCAUACAUGCAAGUCGAACGGAGAGUGUUGUAGUAAUAUGGCGCUCUUAGUGGCGAACGGGUGAGUAACACGUAGGUAACCUGGCUUGGGGAGGGGAAUAACAUGCCGAAAGGCGUGCUAAUACCCCGUAGUACCGACACUUCGCAUGUUGAGUCGGUUAAAGGAAGGCUUCACGGUCUCCGCCCUAAGAUGGGCCUGCGGGCUAUCAGCUAGUUGGUAGGGUAACGGCCUACCAAGGCUUUGACGGCUAGCCGGCUUGAGAGAGUGAACGGCCACACUGGAACUGAGACACGGUCCAGACUCCUACGGGAGGCAGCAGUAGGGAAUCUUCCGCAAUGGGCGAAAGCCUGACGGAGCAAUGCCGCGUGAGGGAUGAAGGCCUUCGGGUUGUAAACCUCUGUUGAUUGGGAAGAAGGUUAGACGUCGAAAGGCGUAUAACUUGACGGUACCUUUCGAGGAAGCCCCGGCUAAUUACGUGCCAGCAGCCGCGGUAAUACGUAAGGGGCAAGCGUUGUCCGGAUUUACUGGGCGUAAAGAGCGCGUAGGCGGCUUGGUAAGUAGAGGGUGAAAGCUCUGGGCUCAACCCAGAAAUGGCCUUCUAAACUGCCUUGCUUGAGGACCUUAGGGGAGACUGGAAUUCACGGUGUAGCGGUGAAAUGCGUAGAUAUCGUGGAGAACACCCGUGGCGAAAGCGGGUCUCUGGGAGGUGCCUGACGCUGAGGCGCGAAGGCUAGGGGAGCGAACGGGAUUAGAUACCCCGGUAGUCCUAGCUGUAAACGAUGGGUACUAGGUGUGGGGAUUCGUCUCCGUGCCGCCGCAAACGCAUUAAGUACCCCGCCUGGGAACUACGAUCGCAAGAUUAAAGCUCAAAGGAAUUGACGGGGGCCCGCACAAGCGGUGGAGCAUGUGGAUUAAUUCGAUGCAACGCGAGGAACCUUACCUGGGCUUGACAUCCUAGGACAACCGUGGAAACACGGCUUUCCCUUCGGGGACCUGGAGACAGGUGGUGCAUGGCUGUCGUCAGCUCGUGUCGUGAGAUGUUGGGUUAAGUCCCGCAACGAGCGCAACCCCUGCCGUUAGUUGCCAGCAUUUAGUUGGGGACUCUAACGGGACUGUCGGUAAUAAGCCGAAGGAAGGUGGGGAUGACGUCAAGUCAGCAUGCCCCUUAUGCUCAGGGCUUCACACGUGCUACAAUGGUUGGUACAAAGGGCGGCGAAACCGUGAGGUUAAGCAAAUCCCUAAAGCCGGCCUCAGUUCGGAUCGCAGGCUGCAACCCGCCUGCGUGAAGUCGGAAUCGCUAGUAAUCGUGAAUCAGAACGUCACGGUGAAUACGUUCCCGGGCCUUGUACACACCGCCCGUCACACCACCCGAGUUGGGUGCACCCGAAGUCGCUUGACCUAACCCUUUUGGGAGGGGGGCGCCGAAGGUGUGCUUAGUAAGGGGGGUGAAGUCGUAACAAGGUA
rnacentral:rRNA from 1 species